AUUGAACGCUGGCGGCAGGCCUAACACAUGCAAGUCGAGCGAGCGGCGGAGGGGUGAGUAAUGUAUGGGGACUGCCAGAGAGAGGGGGAUAACUACUGGAAACGGUGGCUAAUACCGCAUACUAUCGGAUAACCCAUAGGGGAUUAGCUAGUAGGUGGGGUAACGGCUCACCUAGGCGACGAUCUCUAGCUGGUCUGAGAGGAUGAUCAGCCACACGGGGACUGAGACACGGCCCAGACUCCUACGGAGGCAGCAGUGGGGAAUAUUGCACAAUGGGCGCAAGCCUGAUGCAGCCAUGCCGCGUGUAUGAAGAAGGCCUUAGGGUUGUAAAGUACUUUCAGCGGGGAGGCGUUACCCGCAGAAGAAGCACCGGCUAACUCCGUGUCAGCAGCCGCGGUAAUUC
rnacentral:rRNA from 1 species